rnacentral:siRNA from 1 species
CUAGAUGAAUGUGGUAGAUGC